GAAGUAAGAAAUAACCUAUUCUUGAUUUCUAAUCAAAGAUUAAAGCAGCUAGUUUAGCUUUUACUUCU
rnacentral:tRNA from 1 species